rnacentral:rRNA from 1 species
UUAAGCGACUAAGCGUACACGGUGGAUGCCCUGGCAGUCAGAGGCGAUGAAGGACGUGCUAAUCUGCGAUAAGCGUCGGUAAGGUGAUAUGAACCGUUAUAACCGGCGAUUUCCGAAUGGGGAAACCCAGUGUGAUUCGUCACACUAUCAUUAACUGAAUCCAUAGGUUAAUGAGGCGAACCGGGGGAACUGAAACAUCUAAGUACCCCGAGGAAAAGAAAUCAACCGAGAUUCCCCCAGUAGCGGCGAGCGAACGGGGAGCAGCCCAGAGCCUGAAUCAGUGUGUGUGUUAGUGGAAGCGUCUGGAAAGGCGCGCGAUACAGGGUGACAGCCCCGUACACAAAAAUGCACAUGCUGUGAGCUCGAUGAGUAGGGCGGGACACGUGGUAUCCUGUCUGAAUAUGGGGGGACCAUCCUCCAAGGCUAAAUACUCCUGACUGACCGAUAGUGAACCAGUACCGUGAGGGAAAGGCGAAAAGAACCCCGGCGAGGGGAGUGAAAAAGAACCUGAAACCGUGUACGUACAAGCAGUGGGAGCACGCUUAGGCGUGUGACUGCGUACCUUUUGUAUAAUGGGUCAGCGACUUAUAUUCUGUAGCAAGGUUAACCGAAUAGGGGAGCCGAAGGGAAACCGAGUCUUAACUGGGCGUUAAGUUGCAGGGUAUAGACCCGAAACCCGGUGAUCUAGCCAUGGGCAGGUUGAAGGUUGGGUAACACUAACUGGAGGACCGAACCGACUAAUGUUGAAAAAUUAGCGGAUGACUUGUGGCUGGGGGUGAAAGGCCAAUCAAACCGGGAGAUAGCUGGUUCUCCCCGAAAGCUAUUUAGGUAGCGCCUCGUGAAUUCAUCUCCGGGGGUAGAGCACUGUUUCGGCAAGGGGGUCAUCCCGACUUACCAACCCGAUGCAAACUGCGAAUACCGGAGAAUGUUAUCACGGGAGACACACGGCGGGUGCUAACGUCCGUCGUGAAGAGGGAAACAACCCAGACCGCCAGCUAAGGUCCCAAAGUCAUGGUUAAGUGGGAAACGAUGUGGGAAGGCCCAGACAGCCAGGAUGUUGGCUUAGAAGCAGCCAUCAUUUAAAGAAAGCGUAAUAGCUCACUGGUCGAGUCGGCCUGCGCGGAAGAUGUAACGGGGCUAAACCAUGCACCGAAGCUGCGGCAGCGACGCUUAUGCGUUGUUGGGUAGGGGAGCGUUCUGUAAGCCUGUGAAGGUGUGCUGUGAGGCAUGCUGGAGGUAUCAGAAGUGCGAAUGCUGACAUAAGUAACGAUAAAGCGGGUGAAAAGCCCGCUCGCCGGAAGACCAAGGGUUCCUGUCCAACGUUAAUCGGGGCAGGGUGAGUCGACCCCUAAGGCGAGGCCGAAAGGCGUAGUCGAUGGGAAACAGGUUAAUAUUCCUGUACUUGGUGUUACUGCGAAGGGGGGACGGAGAAGGCUAUGUUGGCCGGGCGACGGUUGUCCCGGUUUAAGCGUGUAGGCUGGUUUUCCAGGCAAAUCCGGAAAAUCAAGGCUGAGGCGUGAUGACGAGGCACUACGGUGCUGAAGCAACAAAUGCCCUGCUUCCAGGAAAAGCCUCUAAGCAUCAGGUAACAUCAAAUCGUACCCCAAACCGACACAGGUGGUCAGGUAGAGAAUACCAAGGCGCUUGAGAGAACUCGGGUGAAGGAACUAGGCAAAAUGGUGCCGUAACUUCGGGAGAAGGCACGCUGAUAUGUAGGUGAAGCGACUUGCUCGUGGAGCUGAAAUCAGUCGAAGAUACCAGCUGGCUGCAACUGUUUAUUAAAAACACAGCACUGUGCAAACACGAAAGUGGACGUAUACGGUGUGACGCCUGCCCGGUGCCGGAAGGUUAAUUGAUGGGGUUAGCGCAAGCGAAGCUCUUGAUCGAAGCCCCGGUAAACGGCGGCCGUAACUAUAACGGUCCUAAGGUAGCGAAAUUCCUUGUCGGGUAAGUUCCGACCUGCACGAAUGGCGUAAUGAUGGCCAGGCUGUCUCCACCCGAGACUCAGUGAAAUUGAACUCGCUGUGAAGAUGCAGUGUACCCGCGGCAAGACGGAAAGACCCCGUGAACCUUUACUAUAGCUUGACACUGAACAUUGAGCCUUGAUGUGUAGGAUAGGUGGGAGGCUUUGAAGUGUGGACGCCAGUCUGCAUGGAGCCGACCUUGAAAUACCACCCUUUAAUGUUUGAUGUUCUAACGUUGACCCGUGAUCCGGGUUGCGGACAGUGUCUGGUGGGUAGUUUGACUGGGGCGGUCUCCUCCUAAAGAGUAACGGAGGAGCACGAAGGUUGGCUAAUCCUGGUCGGACAUCAGGAGGUUAGUGCAAUGGCAUAAGCCAGCUUGACUGCGAGCGUGACGGCGCGAGCAGGUGCGAAAGCAGGUCAUAGUGAUCCGGUGGUUCUGAAUGGAAGGGCCAUCGCUCAACGGAUAAAAGGUACUCCGGGGAUAACAGGCUGAUACCGCCCAAGAGUUCAUAUCGACGGCGGUGUUUGGCACCUCGAUGUCGGCUCAUCACAUCCUGGGGCUGAAGUAGGUCCCAAGGGUAUGGCUGUUCGCCAUUUAAAGUGGUACGCGAGCUGGGUUUAGAACGUCGUGAGACAGUUCGGUCCCUAUCUGCCGUGGGCGCUGGAGAACUGAGGGGGGCUGCUCCUAGUACGAGAGGACCGGAGUGGACGCAUCACUGGUGUUCGGGUUGUCAUGCCAAUGGCACUGCCCGGUAGCUAAAUGCGGAAGAGAUAAGUGCUGAAAGCAUCUAAGCACGAAACUUGCCCCGAGAUGAGUUCUCCCUGACUCCUUGAGAGUCCUGAAGGAACGUUGAAGACGACGACGUUGAUAGGCCGGGUGUGUAAGCGCAGCGAUGCGUUGAGCUAACCGGUACUAAUGAACCGUGAGGCUUAACCU